rnacentral:lncRNA from 1 species
GCUCGAUCUAUCCGCUGCAUUCGACACUAUCGACCAUCCCAUCCUGAUCAAUCGGUUAGAAUACUCUUACGGCAUAACUGGCUCAGCGCUGUCAUGGAUGAGAUCCUAUCUUGAAAGUCGAACUCAACGUGUAGCAAUUGGCUCCGUAUUGUCAGAUGUAAUAAACAUUAAAUAUGGCGUUCCGCAAGGUUCGGUAUUGGGACCCCGAUUGUAUUGUAUUUUUGCAAAACCGAUCAGUGAAAUAUGUCGGCGACACAACUUUAGCUAUCAUGGGUAUGCUGAUGACACGCAAGUUUACCUAGUUAUCAAACCACUCGAUAAUUGGGACAACAUAUCUUCCCGUCUAGAGACUUGUUUAGCUGACAUUAGUAAAUGGAUGUGCUUAAACAUGCUGAAACUGAACCAAGACAAAACGGA